rnacentral:rRNA from 1 species
GAUGAACGCUGGCGGCGUGCCUAAUACAUGCAAGUCGAGCGGACGGACGAUGAGCUUGCUGCUCUCACGUUAGCGGAGGGCGUGUGAGUAACAUGUGUAUACCCUACCUAUCAGUCGGGGAAAACUUCGGAAAACCGGAGAUAAUCGCGGAUGAGAUUCUGAACCGCAGGGUUCAAAGGUGAAAGACGGUCUUUCGGUCUCGAAUAGAGGCAUCCGCGCUGCUUUAGCUGGUUGUGACGUUAACGGCUUAUCAAGGCGACUAUGCAUAGCCGAGUUGCGGGGGUGAUCGGCCACACUGGAACGUAGACGCGCUCCAUGCUCCUACGGGAGGCAGCAGUCGGGAAUCGUCCGCAGUGGUCGAAAGCCUUACGGAGCAACGCCACGUGUGUGAUGACGGUCUUCGGAUCGUAAAGCUCUCUUAUUAGUGAAGAACCUAUGUGUACGGUAAUGUACAGAUCUUGACGGUACCUGGUCAGGAAGCCACGGCUAACUACGUG